rnacentral:rRNA from 1 species
AUUGAACGCUGGCGGCAUGCCUUACACAUGCAAGUCGAACGGCAGCACGGGAGCAAUCCUGGUGGCGAGUGGCGAACGGGGGAGUAAAGUAUCGGAACGUGCCCAAGCGUGGGGGAUAACGUAGCGCAAGUUACGCUAAUACCGCAUACGAACUAUGGAUGAAAGCGGGGGGUCGCAAGACCUCGCGCGACUGGCGCGGUCGAGACCGGAUUAGCUAGUUGGUGGGGUAAAGGCUCACCAAGCCGACGAUCUGUAGCUGGUCUGAGAGGACGACCAGCCACACUGGGACUGAGACACGGCCCAGACUCCUACGGGAGGCAGCAGUGGGGAAUUUUGGACAAUGGGCGAAAGCCUGAUCCAGCCAUGCCGCGUGCAGGAUGAAGGCCUUCGGGUUGUAAACUGCUUCUGUACGGAACGAAAAGGUUUGGCCUAAUAAGCUGAGCUCAUGACGGUACCGUAAGAAUAAGCACCGGCUAACUACGUGCCAGCCGCCGCCGUAA